rnacentral:lncRNA from 1 species
CACUUAUGGUGAUCUGGCUGCCAUGAGAUUGCCAGAAGAUGUGGAAGGACUUGGUUGCUGUGAGGUGAGUGUUACAAACUCUAGCAGUAUCUGUCUCAUCUCCUUUGUUUUCUGUCAUCUGUUCACAAAAUAGUCUGACACAGAUGCAUAUAUUAUGCAUGCAGUACACAAUGGAUAGGGGAGUGGUUCAUGCCUGUCAUGCGGGGGGAGUGGUACACAGCCUUGAAGGUUGGUCUCAUCACGAAGUUGGGGCCAUAGAUGUUAACAGAAUUGAUCUUGUGUGGGAAGCAGCACUCAAACAUGGCUUAAGACCAGUGUCACACAGUAAAACAAAUUAAAACUCUUCAGUCAAAAACUGUUUUUCUUAAGUUGUUUUCUUCUUGUUUUGUUG